rnacentral:rRNA from 1 species
AUUGAACGCUGGCGGCAGGCCUAACACAUGCCAGUCGAGCGGAUGAAGGGAGCUUGCUCCUGGAUUCAGCGGCGGACGGGUGAGUAAUGCCUAGGAAUCUGCCUGGUAGUGGGGGAUAACGUCCGGAAACGGGCGCUAAUACCGCAUACGUCCUGAGGGAGAAAGUGGGGGAUCUUCGGACCUCACGCUAUCAGAUGAGCCUAGGUCGGAUUAGCUAGUUGGUGGGGUAAAGGCCUACCAAGGCGACGAUCCGUAACUGGUCUGAGAGGAUGAUCAGUCACACUGGAACUGAGACGCGGUCCAGACUCCUACGGGAGGCAGCAGUGGGGAAUAUUGGACAAUGGGCGAAAGCCUGAUCCAGCCAUGCCGCGUGUGUGAAGAAGGUCUUCGGAUUGUAAAGCACUUUAAGUUGGGAGGAAGGGCAGUAAGUUAAUACCUUGCUGUUUUGACGUUACCAACAGAAUAAGCACCGGCUAACUUCGUG